GGCUCAGAUUGAACGCUGGCGGCAGGCCUAACACAUGCAAGUCGAGCGGCAGCACGGGUACUUGUACCUGGUGGCGAGCGGCGGACGGGUGAGUAAUGCCUAGGAAUCUGCCUGGUAGUGGGGGAUAACGUUCGGAAACGAACGCUAAUACCGCAUACGUCCUACGGGAGAAAGCAGGGGACCUUCGGGCCUUGCGCUAUCAGAUGAGCCUAGGUCGGAUUAGCUAGUUGGUGAGGUAAUGGCUCACCAAGGCGACGAUCCGUAACUGGUCUGAGAGGAUGAUCAGUCACACUGGAACUGAGACACGGUCCAGACUCCUACGGGAGGCAGCAGUGGGGAAUAUUGGACAAUGGGCGAAAGCCUGAUCCAGCCAUGCCGCGUGUGUGAAGAAGGUCUUCGGAUUGUAAAGCACUUUAAGUUGGGAGGAAGGGCAGUUACCUAAUACGUGAUUGUUUUGACGUUACCGACAGAAUAAGCACCGGCUAACUCUGUGCCAGCAGCCGCGGUAAUACAGAGGGUGCAAGCGUUAAUCGGAAUUACUGGGCGUAAAGCGCGCGUAGGUGGUUCGUUAAGUUGGAUGUGAAAUCCCCGGGCUCAACCUGGGAACUGCAUUCAAAACUGUCGAGCUAGAGUAUGGUAGAGGGUGGUGGAAUUUCCUGUGUAGCGGUGAAAUGCGUAGAUAUAGGAAGGAACACCAGUGGCGAAGGCGACCACCUGGACUGAUACUGACACU
rnacentral:rRNA from 1 species